UUCAUGUACAGUAUCUUCAUUAGUUUAUGCUUUUCAUUUAGUGCUUUAUGUUCUUAGUUGACCAAUUUCAACAACUAUUGAUUUUUUUGAUGAUAUUUUUCACACAGCUAUGUUUUCAAAUCAGUUUACAACUAUUGACAUCUCUAUUUACAAUAAAUUGAAUCAUCCCAAAAUUUGUGAAGGUGGAAAAAUUCGACAAUUUGUGUAAAUAUUGGUGCCAAAAUUUGGAAAACAAUGAGGACAAAAAAAAAAAAAAGCCUACCAUAGCGAGAUUUCAUGUUAUUUUUUUUCGUGGAUCAAGUGAAAUACAGUAAUAACACUAUCUAAAUAAUUACUUUAUUCAAUUUUCUAAUGCGACCACGUGCAACGAGUCACAGUUCCUAGUAAAGAUAAAUAUAAGGGAUUAUUUGAUAUAAUAACCCCCUCGUAUGCUAUUUGCACUUAUUAUAGGCCCAAAAUAUAUUCCUUUUUUUGAGAUAAAUCCAAAUUAUAUCAUAACAUAAUUUUUUUUUUUGCGAUAUUUCUAUAUUGCCCCUAUGUAUAUAUGGACGAUAUUAUUUUUCUAUUAUUUGACGUGUCCAUCUCUCUUCUUGUUUACGCCUCCAAUUACCUUCAUCGUCUGAUAAAAUUAUUUUCUCUGAAAUUAGCGUUUCACAUGUCGAACAUUAUCGAAACCUUCCUUGAUCGCCACACGAUUUGGAUUAUCAUCGCACUCUACGAAUGGGUCUCAACCCGGAAUCUCUCGCCGCUGUUGUUAAGGAGUUUCGCAGGGAUUCAACACCGCCUUCCUCAGACACAGUUGCACCACCUCCUUGACCAGGUGUUUGCUUAUAUGCGCAAACCAGAAAAUUUCCUCUCAAUCGCAUAUCUCGCUGCCGACAAGACCCGUGGAAAUCUGUUCAGACGGUCCCCAACAUCCCUUCGACGAGUUCGGGUUCACAUACUUGAAGACGACCCCUGACAUUCCAUAGCACUCCAAGGUAAUUUUAUCAUUUUUUGCAGUGUGUUCGACGAUUUCUUCCCUCCAACGCACACGCCGCUGCCGGGGCUGUUAUGCCGAGAUGGCAGCACAUUUUUUAGAUAGGCCGUGGCAUCUCAACAACUAUGAGGAAAAAUUGCCUCGGCUACAAUCGAUCGAUCGCCGAAAUUAGCGGUCGUGUAAGCAGUGCUCCGAUUUUACAUAUUCCAUUUCUUUUCAGACAAAAUAUACCUGCUGCAGGCGCGAGGAAUAGAGGAGGGGGUGUCGAUGCGCUUACGGUAAAUAGUAGUUUUCGACAUUAAAUAGUGGAUUACGUUAGAGGGAUGGGGUUGACAACGCGUACAGUGAAUAGUGGAUUUCAAAUUUAGGCAGUGAAUAGUGGAUUUCAAUUUUAGACAGUGAAUAGUGGAUAGUGGUUUUCGUAAAUAGUGAUUUUCGAAUUCUUACGCGACAUUAAAUAGUGGAUUACGUUAGAGGGACAUUGAAUAGUGUAUUUUAAAUUCAGGCAAUGAACAAUGGAUUCUGUUAAUUUUUUUUAGAUAGUGAAUGUUCAUAAAUUUUGAUGUG